rnacentral:rRNA from 1 species
AGCGAACGCUGGCGGCAGGCCUAACACAUGCAAGUCGAGCGGAUGCCGGGAGCUUGCUCCUUGAUUCAGCGGCGGACGGGUGAGUGAUGCAUAGGAAUCUGCAUGGUAGUGGGGGACAACGUUUCGAAAGGAACGCUAAUACCGCAUACGCGCUACGGGAGAAAGCAGGGGACCUGCGGGCCUUGCGCUAUCAGAGGAGCCUAGGUCGGAAUAGCUAAUAGGUGAGGUAAUGGCUGACCUAGGCGACGAUCCGUAACUGGUCUGAGAGGAUGACCAGUCACACUGGAACUGAGACACGGUCCAGACUCCUACGGGAGGCAGCAGUGGGGAAUAUUGGACAAUGGGCGAAAGCCUGAUCCAGCCAUGCCGCGUGUGUGAAGAAGGUCUUCGGAUUGUAAAGCACUUUAAGUUGGAAGGAAGGGCAUUAAGCUAAUACCUUGCUGUUUUGACGUUACCGACAGAAUAAGCACCGGCUAACUCUGUGCCAGCCGCCGCAGUAAGAC